GGAUAGGUGAUCAGGUGUCUUCAGCCGUUGAAGCAGCUGGAGUAGUCAUUCAACAUUUGUUGAGUUUGGUAAUCAUUGCAUCUUCUCCUGGAUUGCUUCAUUUAACUCAUUUCCUACACAUGGAUGUGUCAGCAUUGGUUUGUUCCAAUCAUCUUCAUGUUGUUUCUCAUCUAGCAAAACAGAAGUUUGAUUUUAUUUUAUUGUAUGUGUAAAGCAUCUGUGAAAUGUUAUCCAUGACCUUAAUCACUCCUACAACCAAGUGAAUCACCAUUUCUUUCAACCAAUGCUUAAGACCUAUCCUAGUAAAUAAAAAAAAAUCUUUGUUUUUGUGCUAGUUCUGUAUUGGCCUUCUCUGAAAAGUCUGAAGUCCUGUAACUUUGAGUAAGCAAAGGAUUUUUAUCGUGUUUCUUAGAAUCUGUAUUCUAGAACUUUAUCAUAAACCCUUAUUGGGUCCUUUUCUGCUUAAUGGAAUAAUGUAAACUCAUAAGUAAGAUCAUUUUAAACUUUUUUUAUAUAGUCAGUCAUUUAGUUAGAAAAUGCUAUACAGAUGUAUGGCUUCAGCACUGAAUAAAGCAAAAAAAAAAUCUAACGGUAUUUUAUAAGCAGAAUGAACAGUACAUG
ensembl:lncRNA